ensembl:lncRNA
GGGACACGCGCCGCGGCGCGCGCCCAGGAAGCGGGGUCUCGCGCCGUGCGUGCCGGGGGUGGCUCCGCGCACGCAAGAAGAGGGACUAGCGCCGCAGGUGGCGAGGGGCCCCGCGCGCGCAAGAGUGGGGGCUCGCACCGUGCGCGCCGAGCUCUGUAGGCAACCUUGAGCAGUUUUGUCCGUUCUGGAGACACUGGGCAGAAACAGAGGCCGAAAUGCAGUGACGCUGUUGCACAGAUCCACCCCCCAAAUCUUUGGCAUCAGGGCAAAUGGACAAACGCAGCAUUUCCAUCUUUUAAGGCACGUUCCACACACGAUCUUCCAAAAGAAUGUUCUGCUUUCCAGGAGCCAAGGAAAUAGAAGAUCAACUGUUCCAAACAGAAGCCCAGUCCUGUGGUUUUCUAGGAGGAAGGCUGAGGAGCUGAGGCCAAACUCUGUCUUAUGUAAAACUGCAAAGCUGGUGGUGGAAAUGGAGAUGAGCCUCUGGCGUGGGAGACGGUGGAGGAAAAGCAUAGGGAUGCCUUACAUCUGGUUGGAAAAAUUCUGAGACCUCAUGUUUACUGCUGGGAGAAGGUCAAAGACUGUCUACUCCUGGCUGCAAAUGGACCUGUUAAAUUUCCUGAUGUUCCUCUAAAAAUUAAAGGAGUUUGGCCUCCCUGGUGGCUAACUUGGUAAAGAAUCCACGUGCAAUGAAGGAGACCUGGGUUCAAUCCCUGCGUCCGGAAGAUCCCCUGGAGGAGGGCAUGGCAACCCACCCCAGUAUUUUUGCCUGGAGACUCCCAUGGACGGAGGAGCCUGGCGGGCUACAGUCCACGGGGUCGCAAAGACUCGAACAGGAAU